AUGCAUCUGUAUCACUGAUGAAGCCAGGGUUUAUCUGGAGGGGGGGUGUCGACGUCCUCUGCUUCAAACUAAGCUUAAAUGUCUUUCAUCCUUAAGGAAAUUUGGACCUUUUUAAAGGUAGAAAAAUGUUUGAAUUUCCUUCUCAGAACACGACUGUGGCGAAGAGACGGAGCAGCAUUGACAACAGUUGCGCACUGUGUUGGGGAGUUGUUGCUGUAA
rnacentral:lncRNA from 1 species